GCCCGUUUGGCCAAAUGGUAAGGCGUCUCACUCGUACAUUCACUGCGCAAUGAGAAGAUCACCUGUUCGAUUCAGGUAAUGGGCA